GUUGUAUGCUGGUUGGCUGUUGACGACAUCUCCUGGUUGCCUGGACAUCCUUGUUGGUUAACACAACUUCUGCAACAUCAACAGAACAUUUUGGAGGAAGAAGUAUAUCUCCCUGGGAUACUGCUGCUCUGAAGCAGACCCACAUCAACGAGGGGAUGACAAAUGGUGAAAUGUUGCAGAAGAAGAGGAAGAGGACUCUCACAGAAGAAGGAGAGGAGCAAUUGGAGAAUGCUAAAGAGAAAAGCCGGAGUAUUUGGAACCUGAAAACAAGAAUGAAAGAAUAUUACAAACUCUGGAUAUCAGUCGGCAGUGCAGAUUCUACUUGGACAGAACAAAAUUCUUCAAGAAAGCUGAUCAGCUGUUUGUUCAUCAUAAAAGCCAAUCAUCUGUUUGC